rnacentral:rRNA from 1 species
UACGGGGGGGAGCAAGCGUUGUUCGGAAUUACUGGGCGUAAAGCGCGUGUAGGCGGCCCGGAAAGUCGGAUGUGAAAGCCCUGGGCUUAACCUAGGAAGUGCAUUCGAAACUGCUGGGCUUGAGUUCUGGAGAGGAAGGCGGAAUUCUCGGUGUAGAGGUGAAAUUCGUAGAUAUCGAGAGGAACACCGGUGGCGAAGGCGGCCUUCUGGACAGUGGCUGACGCUGAGACGCGAAAGCGUGGGGAGCAAACAGG